GUGCGCAGGCGGUUAUGUAAGACAGAUGUGAAAUCCCCGGGCUCAACCUGGGAAUUGCAUUUGUGACUGCAUGGCUAGAGUGUGUCAGAGGGGGGUAGAAUUCCACGUGUAGCAGUGAAAUGCGUAGAUAUGUGGAGGAAUACCGAUGGCGAAGGCAGCCCCCUGGGAUAACACUGACGCUCAUGCACGAAAGCGUGGGGAGCAAACAGGAUUAGAUACCCUGGUAGUCCACGCCCUAAACGAUGUCUACUAGUUGUCGGGUCUUAAUUGACUUGGUAACGCAGCUAACGCGUGAAGUAGACCGCCUGGGGAGUACGGUCGCAAGAUUAAAACUCAAAG
rnacentral:rRNA from 1 species